rnacentral:lncRNA from 1 species
AAAGAGUUGAUGAUGGUCCCAAUGAGGUAAGUCAUUGGUGAGUAUACACUUGAGUUAUGUUACGAGUUGUGCAAGUAUGUAUAUUAAGCCUAUGAGAAUGCCUUGAUAUGUGAUGAUCUAUGAUGCAUAAUAUGUGUUCUUACCAUGAUGGAUGAAAUGAUGUUGUAUUAAUUUUGUGAACAAUGAUCAUGAAUGAGUAACUUAGCCUUGACAGAUUUGAGUUACUGCAGUAGUGUAACUUUGAAAAUACACUAAAAAUAGUGGAAAGUUAGUUAGUGGCAGAAUAAAAUAUGCAAUUAAAGCUUAAUGAGUCUAUUUUCACAUGAAAGAAACAGGGGAAGAAAAAGAAUUCUAUAUUGUGUGAUAUUUGAGUUCUUGUAAAAUAGGGUCUGAAUGAAUUCGAGAUCCCCUGUUCUAACUUUAUAAAUUCAUCAUAAAUUGUAAAAAAAUUAUUAAGAGUCAUACCUUACAUUCAUGGAUUCUUUUUUGAGUCUAUUUUUAAGAGCAACAAGCGGCAUGGUGAUUGGAAUUCUGUACAGGGAUAAAUUCAGUUCGUAGUGCACAAGGGUUAGAGUGGUCAUACCCUAAAAUAGGGGAGACUUUAACUAAUAAACUUUACUAAAUGGCUUGACCAAAAAUUCUAUAAAAAAAUUACUAAGUAUACAUAUGAGUAUAGUUUCAAGAUAAAUAGACGAGAACAUUAUUUGAAUCCUGUACUAUGAGAUAAUUGAGCUUGAGUGCAGAAGGGUUGAAACUGUCAGACAGUGAAUCAAGAGCAAACUUGAGGAAUAAACUGUACUAAUUGGCUAAGUCAAAAAUUCUGGAAAUUUUAUGAAAGAAAUAUAAAUGAGUCUAGUUUCAGGGAAAAUUAACGGAACUUAAUUUGGAGUUUCGUAGCUCCAGAUAUAAAUAAUUUAGUGACUAUUGCUCAGGAAGACAGCUUGCAGUGAACUUGAGAAUAUGUUGUAAACAUUGAUAAAACAAGUUAAUGAGUUGCUUAUAGUUUUCAUAUGAACUUACUAAUCAAAAGCUUACCCCCCUUCUUUCCCAUGUUUUCUAGAGUUUCCAGGUUAGCUCGGGUUGGAGGCCGUCAGAGAUAUUAUCACACUGUCGAGUUAACGCUAUCGGCGUAAGUAAACUCAAGUGAUUCUAGUCUAUGGCAUGUAUAGGGUUUUAAUGUGAGUAUGUAAUAUUAUGAUUUAGCCAAAGGCAUUGGCUUGUUAUUAAGGUAGUAUUAGUCAUGUAAAUUGGCCUAUGUCGGCUAAUAUCAUUAUGGGCCCAUAUGAUUAUUCUUAUGCAUGUGUGUUAUUAUCUCUUGUGAUGUGGCUUACAACAUGUAUGCCUAGAGAUUGAAUUGAGAUUCAUUGAUGAGCUA